rnacentral:misc_RNA from 1 species
GUGAAUCAUCAAAUCUUUGAACGCAAAUUGCGCCUUUUUCGGAAGGCAUGUCUGUUUGAGGGCACCAUUUAACAAAUAAUGUGCAGCGUUUUUUGUUGCACACGUUGAUGAGCUUUCCAAGAAUUUUAAAUUUUUGGUGGCGCAUAAUGAACAGCGUGAAGCUUUUUUUUUCAGUCGGAUUGUGGUAAAAUUUUUGUUGGGGUUGUGAAAAGCGUAAU